rnacentral:rRNA from 1 species
CAGUAGCCGCGGUAAUACGUAGGUGGCAAGCGUUGUCCGGAAUUAUUGGGCGUAAAGGGCUCGCAGGCGGUUUCUUAAGUCUGAUGUGAAAGCCCCCGGCUCAACCGGGGAGGGUCAUUGGAAACUGUUAAACUUGAGUGCAGGAGAGAAAAGUGGAAUUCCUAGUGUAGCGGUGAAAUGCGUAGAGAUGUGGAGGAACACCAGUGGCGAAGGCGACUCUCUGGUCUGUAACUGACGCUGAGGAGCGAAAGCGUGGGGAGCGAACAGGAUUAGAUACCCCUGUAGUCCCUGUCUCUUAUAA